GCAUCGGAAACUGGGAAACUUGAGUGCAGAAGAGGACAGUGGAACUCCAUGUGUAGCGGUGAAAUGCGUAGAUAUAUGGAAGAACACCAGUGGCGAAGGCGGCUGUCUGGUCUGUAACUGACGCUGAGGCUCGAAAGUAUGGGUAGCAAACAGGAUUAGAUACCCUGGUAGUCCAUACCGUAAACGAUGAAUGCUAAGUGUUGGAGGGUUUCCGCCCUUCAGUGCUGCAGCUAACGCAUUAAGCAUUCCGCCUGGGGAGUACGGCCGCAAGGCUGAAACUCAAAGGAAUUGACGGGGGCCCGCACAAGCGGUGGAGCAUGUGGUUUAAUUCGAAGCUACGCGAAGAACCUUACCAGGUCUUGACAUACUAUGCAAAUCUAAGAGAUUAGACGUUCCCUUCGGGGACAUGGAUACAGGUGGUGCAUGGUUGUCGUCAGCUCGUGUCGUGAGAUGUUGGGUUAAGUCCCGCAACGAGCGCAACCCUUAUUAUCAGUUGCCAGCAUUAAGUUGGGCACUCUGGUGAGACUGCCGGUGACAAACCGGAGGAAGGUGGGGAUGACGUCAAAUCAUCAUGCCCCUUAUGACCUGGGCUACACACGUGCUACAAUGGAUGGUACAACGAGUUGCGAACUCGCGAGAGUAAGCUAAUCUCUUAAAGCCAUUCUCAGUUCGGAUUGUAGGCUGCAACUCGCCUACAUGAAGUCGGAAUCGCUAGUAAUCGCGGAUCAGCAUGCCGCGGUGAAUACGUUCCCGGGCCUUGUACACACCGCCCGUCACACCAUGAGAGUUUGUAACACCCAAAGUCGGUGGGGUAACCUUUUAGGAACCAGCCGCCUAAGGUGGGACAGAUGAUUAGGGUGAAGUCGUAACAAGGUAGCCGUAGGAGAACCUGCGGCUGGAUCACCUCCUUUCUAAGGAA
rnacentral:rRNA from 2 species